AAUAACCAAAUAUAACACUUGGGCUAAGAGUCAAGUUGGUAAUUUUUCUUACAUCUCCCCCUCCCGGAGCCCAGGUAUCAUAUACGCCCCCAAAAUAAAGAGCCUUGAAUACUAGAAGAAAAGCGCCUAUACCUAGCAAAAUUAAGUGAAUACCCAAAAUUGUGGUCAUUUUUAUUUCUAUCUUUCCA
rfam:Corchorus capsularis cultivar CVL-1 contig02222, whole genome shotgun sequence.